rnacentral:rRNA from 1 species
ACGGGGGGAGCAAGCGUUGUUCGGAUUUACUGGGCGUAAAGGGCGCGUAGGCGGCGCAACAAGUCACUUGUGAAAUCUCCGGGCUUAACUCGGAGCGGCCAAGUGAUACUGUCGUGCUAGGGUGCGGAAGAGGGAAGCGGAAUUUCCGGUGUAGCGGUGAAAUGCGUAGAUAUCGGAAGGAACACCAGUGGCGAAAGCGGCUUCCUGGUCCAGCACCGACGUUCAGGCACGAAAGCGUGGGGAGCAAACAGGA